GCCGACCCUUUAUUCUUUUCACCUCUUAAUCUUAUCCCUUCUUUUUCUAAGGUCUUCUUUAUAUAAGAGGAUUCCCUCAUUCUUAUCAAUCCUAAUAAACAAUCAUGCAAUCUGACAAUCUAGCAUUGAAGCGCAUGUUUUUGUAUUCUAGCAUUUUUAUUUUGCAUCCAUCAUAUUUCAAAUCUUAAUUCACCAUAUCUUCUUGUGCGUGUGCUUCUGAGAGCAUCAUUUUUUGACUGCAAGAUCUUGGUUGAUAGAAGUGCAAUGGAAUAGUUUAUAGCAUGCAUGUAUAUUAUUAGUUUAGAUUUUGGUUUUCAUUGUGUACAUUUUCCAAGUACUCUAUUGAGGAUGUUGAAAUAAAUCUGGAUCUUGCUCCAUAAGAUUUCAAAGAUAUUCCAUCCACAACUCCAAGAGACAACUCUAGAACCAAGUUGAAAAACAUAGUUAGAUGUAGAUUUUUUAUCAUCCACUAAACCAGCCCAAUCAAAAUUUGUGUAACCAAUUAGCUCAAACUUUUCAGUGGGAGUAUAAUGAAUGCAAAAUUUUGUGUACCACUCACAUACCUCAUAAUUCUUUUAGCAACUUGCUAACGAGUCUCAUGUGGAUCUUACAUGAACCGAGAGAUGAGGCUCAUACCGUACAUAACAUCAGGUCUACUAGUUGUGAGAUACAUCAGGCUACCAAUCGAACUUUUAUACAAAGUAGCAUUAACCUUGGGACUUCCAUCUUCCUUGGUUAAUCUUCCAUCAGUUACAUACUUGGUUUGGUAAAUAUAUAUACCAUUUGAUGUUUGGUGUACUUUCACAACAAGAAAAUAGUGCAUGAGUCCCAAAUUUGACAUUUCAAAUUCUUAUUUCAUUUCUGCUUAAAACUUCUCCAUGAGAGCUUUGUUGUUACCUAUAUAAAUAAGAUCAUCAACAUAAAGGCAAACUAUGAGAAUAUUAUUACCAAUAUGUUGGACAUAUAAGGUAGGCUUUGAGUGGCUUCUAUUGAAUCCCUUCUUCAUAAAAUAACUAUCAAUCCUAGUAUACCAAGCACAAGGAGCUUGCUUCAACCCAUAAAGGGCUUUCUUCAACUUGUAGACUAAAUGCUUUUUUCCUAGAACUUCAUAACCCAUAGGUUGUUCCACACAAACUUCCUCAUCUAGAUAACCAUUCAAGAAUGCUAAUUUCAUAUCCAUCUGAAAUAUUGGCCACUUGUAUUGUGUUGCAAUAGCCAAUAUAGUCUUGACAGUAUCAAAGUCUAGCCACAUAAGCAAAAGUAUUGCAUAAUCCACUCCAGGAGUUUUUGCAAACUUUUUGGCAACUAGUCUUGUCUUAUAUCUUUCCAUUGAACCAUCUACAUGAUAUUUGACUUUAUAUAUCCAUUUCAUACCAAUCACUUGCUUACCUUUGGGAAGUUGCACUGAUUCCCAAGUAUUACUUUUAUGAAUGGAAUUCAUCUCAUCAUUCAUAGCAUUAACCCAUAUUGGUUUUUUGAUGUUUCUUCAUACACAAAGGGUUCAACUUGAAUUAUACUAAGCAAAGAAAAAUUAACAACUAAAUUUAUAUUUAGAAUCUUCUGAUAAAUAUGAACCAAACUUCAUACCUUUCUUUGAGUUGAUGUUGGAGGUGAAGCUAGAGGUGAAACUUCACCUGAGUUUGUGCUAUUAGAAGAACUAGGUGAAUGUGGAGGACUACAACUAGAGCUUGAACUUCCACUUGAGCUUGUAGGGAGAAGAGAAACACUAUUAUCUCAAAGAGAUCAGAUUUAUCUGUCAUGCGAUUUGAACAACCACUGUCUAAGAACUAGACAUCCUCUUCGUUUUCUUUUGCCAAAUUACACGUGAAGAAUGUAGAAUGCUUUUCUUCAAAAGACUCUUCUGUAAAAUUUGCUCUUGACUUAUUCAAGUCAAAUUUCUUCUUUUUGCACUUAGACUCACAGUGCGCAUGUCUUUCACAAUAUUUACAUUAGAUACUCCUUCGAUCCAUAGAAAUUUUUCCUCUUCCUCUAUUAUUUCCUCUAACUCUUCCUCUGUUAUUACUAGAAGAUUGACCUUGAGAUUUAGUAUUGUGAGAGAGAGCAAAUUUAAAUUUCUCUUCAAUGUUGACAAAAGACUGAAAAGCUUGCACAAAACUUUUCAUAGCUACAUAUGCACUGCUCAUGAGAUUACAAAGAACCAAUCAAUUCUCCAACUUGAAAAGUAGUUAGAUCUUUACUUUUUUCAAUGGCUAUCACCAUUGGAUCAAAUUUAGAAGGAAGAGAUCUCAAAAUUUUUUCUACAAUUUCCUAUUCUAUUGUAGUUUCUCCUUGAGUCCUAAGAUAAUUCACAAUAUCUUGAAUCCUAGUAAUAAAUUCAUGAACGGACUCAAAUUCCUUCAUCCUCAAAUUUUUAAAUUCUCUUCGACAAGUUUGAAGUUUUACCAAUUUGUUUUUGUCUGUACCUUGGUAUGCAGUUUGAAGAGUAUCCCAUGUGUCCUUUGAUUUUAUCAUACAAGCAAUUCAAGAGAAAAUUGAAACAUCCAAUGUAGAUUGAAUAGUGAAAAGAGUUUUGUUGUCCUUCUUUUUGUCUUCUUUCAGCUCAAUUUUUUGUUGUGGUGUCCAUGCAUUCAAUGCAUUAUGAUCUAGAAGAACUAGGUAUCCUCCUUCAACUAAUUCCUAGAUUUUUUCGGAUAAUAAUAGGAUUUUCAUUUUGAUACCCCGUAUCUGGUAAACAAUGAAAGUGUAAAUGGUAAAUCUUUGUUAUUAGCCAUCUAGAGAUAACCGUUUCUCUAACCUUGCUACCUGCACAAAUCAGAAAUCUUGCAACCUGCUCUAAUACCAAAUGAAAGAUUAUAAUAAUUUAAAAUACAUUCACAAAAUACGUAUCAUCAACUAAGAAGAAGACCAAAUAUUAUUCAUAUGAAAAAUUUAAUCAAAAUUACAAUAACAGUGAUUACAUUUAUAAACUACUAGAACCUAUCAAACAAGAAUAAAAACUAAAAACUAAUAACAAUUUUCUACUGCCUAGAUAGCAGUUUCUAAAGAUAAAAACCAUUGCAUAGACAACAAUUUCUAAAAAUCAAAAACAAGAUUAAUGUAUAUCAUAGCAGUUGCCAAACUACUAUUUUAUUAACAAAACAAAAACACAUUCUUAGUAGUUUUCAUCACAGCCUUGAUCUCCAACAUAGCAAUCUCCAGCGCAUCAUUCUAAUCUUGAACAUAUCGAACUUAUCUUCACUAAAGUCUUAAAACCUUGUGAGAUUACACUUAAAUGUAAUCUAAGCUGAUUUUAUAUGAUGCUUGGGCAUUACACGUAAAUUUUCUGUUCAUAAAGCUAUUUUUUCUAAAGAAUUAUAGUGGAAACCGGCACCACAAUUAUCCCCGUCUUUUAUCAUUCUCAGCCUUCUGAUUCUAUAAAGACCCUCUGAAUGAUAAAAAAAAUUAUAGCAAAUAAAUUUUUAUUCAAGCUGCACAGAUAUUUUUUGGUCAACGUACAAUAAUGGUCUGUAUUAUUUCCAAACGAACUAUUACACAACAGUUUUUACAGCUUUCUCAAACAGCACAGAGACAAAUUAUUGGAGUCUGCAGCUGCUUAAAAGCAACAGAGAGCUGCAUUUAGAAACAGAAAAAUUAACAAUAAUUUUUAUUUUUUACAUGCAGCUCAUGUAAACAUGCAGUCUAAAACUAAUUUAAAUGCAAAUUAUAUUUAAAAUUAGAUGUCUAAACUAAAACCUGCACAUGACAGUGAAGGUGAAAUGCAUCACUUAUCAGCAUGCUCCCCUUUGAUGUUAAGAGGGUUCACAAUAUAAUCUCUAAGUGUCAAAGAUUGAAUUUCAAUUGUCUUACUGAUAUUAGCAAGUUUGUUUUGACCAUUGAUGUAUUUCAAUUCAAAAUCUAUUAUUUAAAUCUCAAAUGAAGUGAUAUUUCAAAUCAAAAGUAAUUGGAUUGUAUUUUGGAUCAAUUUGAUUGCAUAAUAUUAUCAUAAUAAAAAAAUAUCGUAGAUUGAAAUUUUUUUUUUAGCCAUAAUUUUCUUUGAAUUCCAUGUAACCAAAUGGAAAUAAAUAGAAAGAUAAUUAUCAAUGUGGACUUUCGGAUAUUCAAACUACCUCCCCUAUUAGAAUAAUAGAGGGGGAAAAAAAUUCAUAAGUGUAAUAAUUAAUACCAAAGUUUAAAGUCCCAUUCACAUAUCUCUAUAUUCUCUUCGCUUCCUUUUUCUAUUUCAAAUGGUUAUGUCAUAUACUUUGAAAAAAGAGAAACUAAAGAAGCAAUAUUAAGUUUUGUGACAAUACUUUUAUAAGCUGCUUCAUCAAUGGAGUGGAGGUUGGUUUACAAUCAACCAUACCGAUUUUUUCCAACAUAUGUUUUGCAUUCUUUGCAUAAUUAUAAUACCAUCCAAUCUGUGUAUAAAUGCUGUACAUGUGUGUGAAUGGUAAUAUAAACCUUGCUAGCUUUAUCGGCUAAUCACACAUGUUAACUUGAAUAAUUGUUCUUGGAUAUCUUAAUGUAGUCAUAAUUAAAUUAUACAAGAUUUGGUCGAGCCAUUGUAGUCAUUUCCUCCAAUGCUGCAGAAGUAGUAAGUUUUUUAUUGGUUCAAAUUUUCUAUACAAGAUUUUACCCAGGCAUGCUGUAUCUGUUUAUUUGCAUAUUAUGUACAGCUCAAAAUAAAUAGGAAGUAGUAAUUGUUGGAAUAAACACAUAAUUUCUUCCCUGUUUGUAUGCCGAAGACUGUCUUAGUCACCCACAGAUGAAGACAAUCUUAUCCCCUGUAGCUGCAAUCUGAUUUGUCCUUAUCCUCAGUGUCUGCAGUAGGAAAAGGGUAUGCUCUGUUUUGUCUUCUAUCUCCGACCUUGCAUAAAAUCUGAUUUAUGCUUAUCCUGAAUAAAAUCUGAUUUAUUGCUGUGCAGAAAAUCUGAUUUUUGUUUAUCUCAAUUUGCCUUGUAUUGCAAGUUUUCAUAACCGCCUCUGUUCACUGUCUAUAUGGCAUCCUAUAAAUAUAUUUUGGGUGCAACUGUGUGAUGUAACUUUGAAGAACAAGAUACGGACCUUUGAACUCUGUAGAUUUCCAUAUUUGUACUCUUAUUAUUCAUAAUAGAAAAUCUGGUUUGUAUGCUGCAGCAUACCGUUAUUUGCAUGAUGUGUUCAGUUUAGUUUGUAUGCUCUGUUUUGUUAUAUUCCACUAUUCUGUAUUACUGUGAUUUCCCUGUUUCCUACAGUAAUACAUGGCUUUGACAUAAAAAAUGUCGAAGAGAAAAGAAGAUUUCUUACCUGGGGCUGGCAAACUCGAAGAGCUUUCUUACCUGGGGAUGAGAAAAUGAUGAGAGCAACUUUAGCAUCGCAGAGAAGUGAGAGCUCGCUGGCCUUCUUCAACAGUCCCAUUUUGCCUUGGAGAAAGUCAGCCAACGAUUUACAGGGGCCAUCGUUUACUUGGCUUUCAUGUAGGGCUGAAGCGGACUAAUGUCUUAAAACCUCGCGAGAUUACACUUAAAUGUAAUUUAAGCUGAUUUAAUAAGAUGCUUGGGCAUUACUCGUAAAUUUUCAGUUCAUAAAGCCAUUUUUUCUAAGAGUUAUAGUGGAAACCGGCACCACACUUAUCACUGUCUUCAAUUAUUCUCAGCCUUCUGAUUCUAUACAGGCAAAAUUAUAGCAAAUAGUUUUUUUA